rnacentral:rRNA from 1 species
UCUUAAAUUUGAACGCUAUUGCGCUGCCGAUUUUUUCUGGGAGCAUACACANCAGAGUAUCAUCAAACCCACANCUAUAACAAUUUAUUGUAAUAGGCACUUGAAGUUGGCUUUGUUUAAGGCACUCCUUCUAAAUUAAUUCAAUGCAAGAGCAUGUUUACAUUGUAAUUUUCAUAGUAAAUAUGAGUUUGUNUAGAACAGUUAGCAUUCAGUUGUUAGCUAAGAUUCAUAUUCGAUCUCUGGCUGUGUAGGAAUACCCGCUGAAUUUAAGCAUAUUAAUAAGCGGAGGAAAAGAAACUAACAAGGAUUCUCUUAGUAAGGGCGACUGAAAGCGAGAAUAGCUCAAGAUGUUAAUUGAUGUGUCAUGCAUCGAAUUGUGGUCCUUUGAUAUUUGUGUUAAAGUGUGGAUGAAGUCUUCUGGAAAGGAGCGGCAAAGAGGGUGACACCCCCGUGAAUCUACGCUGUAUAACUUUUAUCAUUGAGUCGAGUUGCUUGGGAUUGCAGCUCUAAGUGGGUGGUAAAUUCCAUCUAAAGCUAAAUAUGGUUGGGAAACCGAUAGUGAACAAGUACCGUGAGGGAAAGAUGCAAAGAACUUUGAAAAGAGAGUUAAAGAGUACCUGAAAUUGCUGAAAGGGAAGCGAAGGAAACCAGUGUAUGUUAAAACAUAUUUGUCUUCUGGCUUGCUGGAAGACCGCUAUGCUUAACAAUGUCUUGGUUGGUUGGACUGGGAAAAAAUUUGUAGUUACUGUUAGUGAUCACAUAGUUUU